UGGGUAGGUCAGAUGGUCGCGUGCGAGAGCAUGAGGAAAGUCCGGGCUCCAAAGGGUAAGGAUGCCGUGAUAACAUCCGGCGUAGGUAACUAUAGGGAAAGUGCAACAGAAACAUACCGCCGAAACGGGUAGUGCCGUGGUAAGGUUGAAAUGGUGAGGUAAGAGCUCACCGGCAAUGUGGAGACAUAUUGGCCGUGUAAACCCCAUCCGGAGCAAGGUCGGUGGGACAAAGGCGGCUACCCGCUGCCUCCCAAAUGGUGGACCGCAUGAGCGCACAGAGAUGCAGCGCCUAGAUAGAUGAUCAUCGAAUACAGAACCCGGCUUACAGACCUGCCCGUUUU
rfam:Eubacterium nodatum ATCC 33099 contig00002, whole genome shotgun sequence.